GCACUUUAGUAGCAAAUAUACUAAUAUAGGAACUAUACAAACAAGUUUAGCAUGGCCCUACACAAGAAUAAUGUACAAAUUACUAAAGCAUUCCAUUUUUUU
ensembl:snRNA LOC120099619 U6 spliceosomal RNA